rnacentral:rRNA from 1 species
GACAGAGGGUGCAAACGUUGUUCGGAAUCAUUGGGCGUAAAGCGCGUGUAGGCGGCAAUGCAAGUCGGAUGUGAAAUCCCGCGGCUCAACCGUGGAAGUGCACCCGAAACUGCAUAGCUAGAGUGUCGGAGAGGAAGGUGGAAUGCUUGGUGUAGAGGUGAAAUUCGUAGAUAUCAAGCGGAACACCGGUGGCGAAGGCGGCCUUCUGGACGACGACUGACGCUGAGACGCGAAAGCGUGGGUAGCAAACAGG